GACGCACGCUGGCGGCGUGCUUAACACAUGCAAGUCGAACGGAAAGGCCCUGCUUUUGUGGGGUGCUCGAGUGGCGAACGGGUGAGCAACACGUGAGUAACCUGCCCUUGACUUUGGGAUAACUUCAGGAAACUGGGGCUAAUACCGGAUAGGAGCUCCUGCUGCAUGGUGGGGGUUGGAAAGUUUCGGCGGUUGGGGAUGGACUCGCGGCUUAUCAGCUUGUUGGUGGGGUAGUGGCUUACCAAGGCUUUGACGGGUAGCCGGCCUGAGAGGGUGACCGGCCACAUUGGGACUGAGAUACGGCCCAGACUCCUACGGGAGGCAGCAGUGGGGAAUAUUGCACAAUGGGCGGAAGCCUGAUGCAGCAACGCCGCGUGCGGGAUGACGGCCUUCGGGUUGUAAACCGCUUUCGCCUGUGACGAAGCGUGAGUGACGGUAAUGGGUAAAGAAGCACCGGCUAACUACGUG
rnacentral:rRNA from 1 species